rnacentral:rRNA from 1 species
UACGAGUGCCCCAAGCGUUAUCCGGAAUCAUUGGGCGUAAAGGGUGUGUAGGUUGUCUUGUUAGUCUUCUGUUAAAUUCUUCGGCUUAACCGGGGGCAUGCAGAGGAAACGGCAAGACUAGAGGAUGUGAGAGGUGAAUGGAACUCAUGGUGUAGGGGUGAAAUCCGUUGAUAUCAUGGGGAACACCAAAAGCGAAGGCAAUUCACUGGCACAUUCCUGACACUCAAACACGAAAGCGUGGGUAGCGAAUGGG